GUGGCGGACGGGUGAGUAACGCGUAGGAACAUAUCCAGUGGUGGGGGACAACGUUGGGAAACUGACGCUAAUACCGCAUGAGCCCUUAGGGGGAAAGCAGCGAUGCGCCGAUGGAGUGGCCUGCGUACGAUUAGCUUGUUGGUGGGGUAACGGCCUACCAAGGCUUCGAUCGUUAGCUGGUCUGAGAGGACGAUCAGCCACAUUGGGACUGAGACACGGCCCAAACUCCUACGGGAGGCAGCAGUGGGGAAUAUUGGACAAUGGGCGCAAGCCUGAUCCAGCAAUGCCGCGUGUGUGAAGAAGGUCUUCGGAUUGUAAAGCACUUUCAGCGGGGACGAUGAUGACGGUACCCGCAGAAGAAGCCCCGGCUAACUUCGUGCCAGCAGCCGCGGUAAUACGAAGGGGGCUAGCGUUGCUCGGAAUGACUGGGCGUAAAGGGUGCGUAGGCGGCGGUGUAAGUCAGACGUGAAAGUCCUGGGCUCAACCUGGGAACUGCGUUUGAGACUGCAUGGCUAGAGGAUGGAAGAGGCUCGUGGAAUUCCCAGUGUAGAGGUGAAAUUCGUAGAUAUUGGGAAGAACACCGGUGGCGAAGGCGGCGAGCUGGUCCAUUACUGACGCUGAGGCACGAUAGC
rnacentral:rRNA from 1 species